ensembl:lncRNA
AAUCAUUAGAAUUGUACACUUUAUUUUUCAGACAUUCUACUGACUGUUAACAACCUUUGCAAGUACAUGUUAAUGAAGUUUUAAGAUUUUAACAUAGGAUUAUGCAUUGUUAUGAUGCACUUCCCCAUUACAAACACAGUUCUAUCUGUUUGUGCAAACCCAGGACACCCUGUUGCUUAUGUACGGGCCAUGGCUCACUUAAAGGGAUGCUCCACCCCAAAAUGAAAAUUUUGUCAUUAAUCAAUUACCCCCAUGUCGUGCCAAACCCACAAAAGCUCCGUUCAUCUUUGGAACACAAUUUAAGAUAUUUUGGAUGAAAACCUGGGGGCUUGAGACUGUCCCAUAGACUGCCAAGUAAAUAACAGUGUCAAGGUCCAUAAAAAGUAUGAAAGUCAUCAUCAGAAUACUCCAUCUGCCAUCAGACGUGCAAUCUGGGUUAAAUGAAGUGACGGGAACGCUUUUUGUAAGCGAAGAAAACAAAAAUAACGACUUUAUUCAAUAUUUCCUUUGUCAACGUCUCCUUUCUAUCUCUCCAGAUCACCAUAUGCUGUGUACGCUCUUGUGUGUCAUCCGCGCCAUAAGGAUGCGCUUUUUCUACGUGUAUUUAGCUUUGAUUUGAAAUAAAACAGCGCAUCCUUGUAGCUUUUACGGACCUUUUACGGGUUUGGAAUGACAUGGGGCUAAGUGAUUAAUGACAACAUUUUCAUCUUGGGGUGGAGUAUCCAAUUAAAUAGAAUUUAAAUAAAAUUAGCAAAAAGCGGGUUACACAAUAAUCUCAUGAUCGCACUGCAUGAAAAAAAAAGAUCUAAUCUUUGCAGAUUGUGGGAUAACAUCUUCUGAUUGCCUACAGAUGUCCCAGUUGGAACAAGAUUUGGAGAAGGAGCACACUGCCUUAUCUCAGGCUCUGAGGAGAAGGGAGAAAAAGGUGGAGGAGGCCACUCAGGAAGUGAAGAAGAAGGAGAGACAGGCUGCAGAGCUCUCCGGCUCCAUAACACAGCUGAGCUCAGAGAUGAGUAAGUGUCGAGUGGAGCUGUCAGACAUGGAGCUUGAGCUGUUGCGUCUGAGGAGAGACAGCAACACGAAAGCCUCUCAGCUCAAUCAGAUGGAGGAGACACUCGAUGAGACCAAAGGCCUGCUGGAUAAGAAGAGUGAAAUGGGUAUGCAAAUCCAGUGAUCGCCAACAAAACAAUAAUGGGCAUAACCUUCUGAGUUUUAUGUGAAACCUAAGCCUUUAAAAAAAAGU